rnacentral:rRNA from 1 species
GAUAAGUCAGAUGUGAAAUCCCCGGGCUCAACCUGGGAACUGCAUCUGAUACUGUUGAGCUAGAGUAUGUGAGAGGAAGGUAGAAUUCCAGGUGUAGCGGUGAAAUGCGUAGAGAUCUGGAGGAAUACCGAUGGCGAAGGCAGCCUUCUGGCAUAAUACUGACACUGAGGCUCGAAAGCGUGGGUAGCAAACAGGAUUAGAUACCCUGGUAGUCCACGCCGUAAACGAUGUCUACUAGUCGUUGGGUCCCUUGAGGACUUAGUGACGCAGCUAACGCAAUAAGUAGACCGCCUGGGGAGUACGGCCGCAAGGUUAAAACUCAAAUGAAUUGACGGGGGCCCGCACAAGCGGUGGAGCAUGUGGUUUAAUUCGAUGCAACGCGAAGAACCUUACCUGGUCUUGACAUAUCUAGAAUCCUGCAGAGAUGCGGGAGUGCCUUCGGGAAUUAGAAUACAGGUGCUGCAUGGCUGUCGUCAGCUCGUGUCGUGAGAUGUUGGGUUAAGUCCCGCAACGAGCGCAACCCUUGUCCUUAGUUACCAGCGGGUUAAGCCGGGAACUCUAAGGAUACUGCCAGUGACAAACUGGAGGAAGGCGGGGACGACGUCAAGUCAUCAUGGCCCUUACGACCAGGGCUACACACGUGCUACAAUGGUAGGUACAGAGGGCAGCUACACAGCGAUGUGAUGCGAAUCUCAAAAAGCCUAUCGUAGUCCAGAUUGGAGUCUGCAACUCGACUCCAUGAAGUAUGAAUCGCUAGUAAUCGCGGAUCAGAAUGCCGCGGUGAAUACGUUCCCGGGCCUUGUACACACC